GUUUCUUGUUUCUUGUAUAUGUUUUAUGUAAAAUUUUAAUUUUACAUGUUAUGUAUAUUUAGGAUUUAAUGACAAAAUUCAAACCGAGAACUCAGAUGAGUUGGUAAUUGAAAAUAAUGUAUUGUCAAGUUCAAAUAGUGCUGUACAUGUACAUGAUGUACCUAAAACAGGAGGAUUUAAUGACAAAAUUCAAACCGAAAACUCAGAUGAGUUGGUAAUUGAAAAUAAUGUAUUGUCAAGUUCAAAUAGUGCUGUACAUGUACAUGAUGUACCUAAAACAGGAGGAUUUAAUGACAAAAUUCAAACCGAGAACUCAGAUGAGUUGGUAAUUGAAAAUAAUGUAUUGUCAAGUUCAAAUAGUGCUGUACAUGUACAUAAUGUACCUAAAACAGGAGGUAUUGUAAUAUUUUCGUAAGUUAUUUCAUUAUAAAAAUUUUAAAUUAAUUGUUGUAUAUUUUUUUACAAAUAUUAUUAUAGUAUUUUCAAAUGAACCAAGCUCUAGUGCAUUUAUUGAUGAGCCAGUAGAACAGAAUAUAGCUAAGUCUAGCUCUUUAAAUGAAAUUGUAUUUUCAAAUGAACCAAGCUCUAGUGCAUUUAUUGAUGAGCCAAUAGAACAGAAUAUAGCUAAGUCUAGCUCUUUAAAUGAAAUU